rnacentral:rRNA from 1 species
AUUGAACGCUGGCGGCAUGCCUUACACAUGCAAGUCGAACGGCAGCACGGGGGCAACCCUGGUGGCGAGUGGCGAACGGGUGAGUAAUACAUCGGAACGUGCCCGGUAGUGGGGGAUAGCUCGGCGAAAGCCGGAUUAAUACCGCAUACGACCUGCGGGUGAAAGCGGGGGAUCGCAAGACCUCGCGCUAUCGGAGCGGCCGAUGUCAGAUUAGGUUGUUGGUGGGGUAAAGGCCACCAAGCCGACGAUCUGUAGCUGGUCUGAGAGGACGACCAGCCACACUGGGACUGAGACACGGCCCAGACUCCUACGGGAGGCAGCAGUGGGGAAUUUUGGACAAUGGGCGCAAGCCUGAUCCAGCCAUGCCGCGUGCGGGAAGAAGGCCUCGGUUGUAACG